rnacentral:rRNA from 1 species
UACAGAGGUCCCAAGCGUUGUUCGGAUUCACUGGCGUAAAGGGUGCGUAGGCGGUCGGGUAAGUCUGAUGUGAAUCUCACAGCUUAACUGUGAAACUGCAUUGGAUACUAUCCGGCUCGAGGAAUGGAGGGGAGACUGGAAUACUUGGUGUAGCAGUGAAAUGCGUAGAUAUCAAGUGGAACACCAGUGGCGAAGGCGAGUCUCUGGACAUUUCCUGACGCUGAGGCACGAAAGCCAGGGAGCAAACGGG